rnacentral:rRNA from 1 species
GACGAACGCUGGCGGCGUGCUUAACACAUGCAAGUCGAACGAAGAGCGAUGGAAGCUUGCUUCUAUCAAUCUUAGUGGCGAACGGGUGAGUAACGCGUAAUCAACCUGCCCUUCAGAGGGGGACAACAGUUGGAAACGACUGCUAAUACCGCAUACGAUCUGACCUCGGCAUCGAGGAUGGAUGAAAGGUGGCCUCUAUUUAUAAGCUAUCACUGAAGGAGGGGAUUGCGUCUGAUUAGCUAGUUGGAGGGGUAACGGCCCACCAAGGCGAUGAUCAGUAGCCGGUCUGAGAGGAUGAACGGCCACAUUGGGACUGAGACACGGCCCAGACUCCUACGGGAGGCAGCAGUGGGGAAUCUUCCGCAAUGGACGAAAGUCUGACGGAGCAACGCCGCGUGAGUGAUGACGGCCUUCGGGUUGUAAAGCUCUGUUAAUCGGGACGAAAGGCCUUCUUGCGAAUAGUUAGAAGGAUGACGGUACCGGC